GACGAACGCGGCGGCGUGCCUAAUACAUGCAAGUAGAACGCUGAAGGAGGAGCUUGCUUCUCCGGAUGAGUUGCGAACGGGUGAGUAACGCGUAGGUAACCUGCCUGGUAGCGGGGGAUAACUAUUGGAAACGAUAGCUAAUACCGCAUAAGAGUAGAUGUUGCAUGACAUUUGCUUAAAAGGUGCAAUUGCAUCACUACCAGAUGGACCUGCGUUGUAUUAGCUAGUUGGUGGGGUAACGGCUCACCAAGGCGACGAUACAUAGCCGACCUGAGAGGGUGAUCGGCCACACUGGGACUGAGACACGGCCCAGACUCCUACGGGAGGCAGCAGUAGGGAAUCUUCGGCAAUGGACGGAAGUCUGACCGAGCAACGCCGCGUGAGUGAAGAAGGUUUUCGGAUCGUAAAGCUCUGUUGUAAGAGAAGAACGAGUGUGAGAGUGGAAAGUUCACACUGUGACGGUAUCUUACCAGAAAGGGACGGCUAACUACGUGCCAGCAGCCGCGGUAAUACGUAGGUGGCAAGCGUUAUCCGGAUUUAUUGGGCGUAAAGAGAGUGCAGGCGGUUUUCUAAGUCUGAUGUGAAAGCCUUCGGCUUAACCGGAGAAGUGCAUCGGAAACUGGAUAACUUGAGUGCAGAAGAGGGUAGUGGAACUCCAUGUGUAGCGGUGGAAUGCGUAGAUAUAUGGAAGAACACCAGUGGCGAAGGCGGCUACCUGGUCUGCAACUGACGCUGAGACUCGAAAGCAUGGGUAGCGAACAGG
rnacentral:rRNA from 1 species